rnacentral:rRNA from 1 species
ACUACGGGAGGCAGCAGUGAGGAAUAUUGGUCAAUGGCCGGAAGGCUGAACCAGCCAUGCCGCGUGAAGGUCAGUGCCCUAUGGGCGUUAAACUUCUUUUGUGCGGGAGCAAUAAUGGUCCCGUGUGGCCAGACGAGAGUACCGUACGAAUAAGCAUCGGCUAACUCCGUUCCAGCAGCCGCGGGAAUACGGGGGAUGCAAGCGUUAUCCGGAUUUACUGGGUGUAAAGGGCGUGUAGGCGGGGACGCAAGUCAGAUGUGAAAACCACGGGCUCAACCUGUAGCCUGCAUUUGAAACUGUGUUUCUUGAGUACUGGAGAGGCAGACGGAAUGCCUAGUGUAGCGGUGAAAUGCGUAGAUAUUAGGAGGAACACCAGUGGCGAAGGCGGUCUGCUGGACAGCAACUGACGCUGAGGCGCGAAAGCGUGGGGAGCAAACAGGAUUAGAUACCCCUGUAGUC